rnacentral:rRNA from 1 species
UACGGAGGGUGCAAGCGUUAUCCGGAUUCACUGGGUUUAAAGGGUGCGUAGGUGGGUUGAUAAGUCAGUGGUGAAAUCCCCGAGCUUAACUUGGGAACUGCCAUUGAUACUAUUGAUCUUGAAUACCGUGGAGGUCAGCGGAAUAUGUCGUGUAGCGGUGAAAUGCUUAGAUAUGACAUAGAACACCAAUUGCGAAGGCAGCUGGCUACGCGAAUAUUGACACUGAUGCACGAAAGCGUGGGGAUCAAACAGG